rnacentral:rRNA from 2 species
AAUCUGCCCUGCACUCUGGGACAAGCCCUGGAAACGGGGUCUAAUACCGGAUAACACUGUCCCCCUCCUGGGGGACGGUUGAAAGCUCCGGCGGUGCAGGAUGAGCCCGCGGCCUAUCAGCUUGUUGGUGGGGUAAUGGCCUACCAAGGCGACGACGGGUAGCCGGCCUGAGAGGGCGACCGGCCACACUGGGACUGAGACACGGCCCAGACUCCUACGGGAGGCAGCAGUGGGGAAUAUUGCACAAUGGGCGAAAGCCUGAUGCAGCGACGCCGCGUGAGGGAUGACGGCCUUCGGGUUGUAAACCUCUUUCAGCAGGGAAGAAGCGAAAGUGACGGUACCUGCAGAAGAAGCGCCGGCUAACUACGUGCCAGCAGCCGCGGUAAUACGUAGGGCGCAAGCGUUGUCCGGAAUUAUUGGGCGUAAAGAGCUCGUAGGCGGUCUGUCACGUCGGGUGUGAAAGCCCGGGGCUUAACCCCGGGUCUGCAUUCGAUACGGGCA